GUGUUUGCUUCAGGAGCAUAUAUACUGAAAUUCAUGAUACAGAGGAUAUUAGCAUGGCCCCUGGACUAGCUGAGAUAAAAUUUGUGAAGAGUUAAAAAAAACA
rnacentral:snRNA from 1 species